UAAAGGAGCUAAGGUUUCUGCCAAAAUUUUCGUCCAACUUUUUAUUGGACCGUUUUGCCCUCCCACCAAACCACAUAAUACGUAAACUGCCAUCGUACCGGUUCGGUCUUAUUUUUCCUCCUCCCCCUCCAGGUUCGCCCGAAGCACUAGCCACCUUCCUCCUCUUGCGUCUCCCACUCCGGUUCUGAAUCCCCUCCUCCGCUCGUCGACACACCCGUCGACAAACGCGGCCCAUAAACGAUGCAGAGUUCGUGACCGAUACUGGUUCCAUCACCAGUUCGUAGGAGAUCCAAGGCCAAUACACGCCCCGCUGCCUCGCGCCGUCAAACCCAACAGGCCUCCCUUCUUCCAAACGCACGGAUCUUGGAAGAUGUUGGUCUCCUCCAUGGAGGAUAUCACACCAAACAGCCAGAUUGAGAUCUGACAACUGAUCCCCAUGUCUAACUGUUGCUUCGAGGCAGAACGAGCCCCCCAAGCAAGAUCUUUGCAAAACAAUACCUACAUGCUGGAUUGCUGGAGCUCAGAUUUGUUGGAAAGGAAUUUUACCGUGAGCAACAAAGAAAAAAAGAACAAAUUGAAGAACAAAACGAGCAUGAAGGCCGGUCAUGCCUAGCGCGGAGUCGGCGGAUACCGACGCUCGCGGCGAAGUCGACGACCAAGGGGUGCGGUCCACCACGCCACCCCAGCGCUGCUCCUCCAAGUGCUCUGGCUCGAGGCGAAGGCGACGACCCACAAAGACGACUGCGACCUCGGCGAGACUCUAAAUCACGCCUAGGAAGAGACCGGCGGGAAGGUGAUGGAGCGGAUCCUGCCGAUCCUUGGCCGGCCACGCGGGGGAUGGGAGGAGGCCGGCGGGGAUGAUUGGGUCGGACCAUACGGAUAGAAAAACAGAGAGAUUCAGCAACAGAUAUGUUUGCUAGCUGUGCCUGUACUUUUCCUGCGUCUGCUUCGUUGCUGACUCAAGUUUUUGUUUUGUGUUUUAAGUGUUUCCCCGCCGCUGAUUGCUUGCUCUAUAUGUUUAAAUGAUGCUGCUGAUUUGCUUGUUGUAAUUGGUAGUUAUCAUGAAGAUCCUGCUGAAGCUGAA